rnacentral:rRNA from 1 species
AGAUGGCGACCGGCGCACGGGUGAGUAACACGUAUCCAACCUGCCGAUAACUCGGGGAUAGCCUUUCGAAAGAAAGAUUAAUACCCGAUGGUAUAAUCAGACCGCAUGGUCUUGUUAUUAAAGAAUUUCGGUUAUCGAUGGGGAUGCGUUCCAUUAGGCAGUUGGUGAGGUAACGGCUCACCAAACCUUCGAUGGAUAGGGGUUCUGAGAGGAAGGUCCCCCACAUUGGAACUGAGACACGGCCCAA